UUAAUAAGGGGAGCUUGCGGAGCAGGCUGAGAGGAAGCGGAAGCUUCGACCCGUGAACCUGAUGUGGAUAAUGCCAACGUAGGGAUAUAAAUCUGU
rnacentral:ncRNA from 1 species